rnacentral:lncRNA from 1 species
GAAGGGUAAGAGCAGGUGUUCUUGGGCUUUGUGUUGACCAGCUUGCCUUACACAACCCCAGCACUGUCUGGGACACGGAAGGUGUUCUUCUUAAGGAAGUAAAAGAUGAAGGCAAGAAUAGCAUUACUGAUUCCCAAAUGGAUGAUGUUGAAGUUGUUUAUACAAUUGACAUUCAGAAAUAUAUUCCAUGCUUUUUUUAGCUUUUAUAAUUCCUCAAGUGAAGUAAAUGAGCAAGCACUGAAGAAAAUAUUCUCCAAUGUCAAAAAGAAUGUGAUAGGUUGGUACAAAUUCUGUCGUCAUUCAGAUCAGAUCAUGACGUUUAGAGAGAGGCUGCUUCACAAAAACUUGCAGGAGCAUUUUUCAAACCAAGAACUUAUUUUUCUGCUAUUAACACCAAGUAUAAUAACAGAAAGCUACGCUACUCAUCGACUGAAACAUGCCUUGAAACCUCAAAGAGGACUUUUUCACAGGGUACCUUUAGUGGUUGCCAAUCUGGAUAUUUCUGAACAACUAGGUUAUAAAACUGUAUCAGGUUCCUCUACAUCCACUGGUUUUAGCCAAGCAGUAAAAACACACAGCUCUAAAUUUUUUGAAGAAGAUGGAUCAGUAAAGGAGGUACAUAAGAUAAAAUAUGUAAUGCUUCAUUACAAGAGGAAUUAAGGAGUAUAUGCAAAAAAAAGUGAAAAACAAUGAACAAGCAAUAAAUAAACUAGUAAAGGAUAUAAACAGAUUAAAACAAGAAAUUGGAAAAAAGGAGAUGAGCAUAGAUUCAGGCAGCCUGAGAGAAGAAUAUCUAAAAAGACCCUCAGGGGAACAUUUUUCCUGGUCAAGCAUUAUGGACCUUUUAUCCAGAUUCUGAAUUUCUUCAUUCGUGUGUUGUGUCUUUAAAAAACAGACAUGUUUCUAAAAGCUGUAACAACAACCUCCACCUCGAUGUAGUAGCCAAACUGACCUUAAUGGUAGAACACACUGACAUUCCUGAAGCUAGUCCAGCUAGUAGACCACAAAUGAUUAAGCAUAAAGCCUUAGACUUAGAUGACAGAUGACAAUUCAAGAAAUCACAGCAGUUAGAGACAUAAGACAAACCAUGUAAAACAGAUACUGAUAGUAGUAACCAAGAAAAAGCAUCUACAAUGAGCAGCCCAGAAAUAGAUGAAGAGUUUGAGAAAAUGAAGGGAUCUAGUGAAUAUCCAGUCUCCUA